GGGGCAGUAACUCAGUGGUAGAGCACUUGCCUAGCAUGCAUGAGGCCCUGGGUUCAAUCCCCAGCACCA
rnacentral:tRNA from 1 species